rnacentral:lncRNA from 1 species
UAGCGCUCUCAUCUGCCAACUCAUUCCCUGUUAUUCCACUAUGAGCUGGAACCCAACAGAACUUAACUUCUAAUCCCAUCAUCUGAAUGCGAUAUAGUGUUUGCAAUAUGUCGAUCAAAAUAUCCUUUCUGCUUUCAGAAUGUCCACUCUGUAAUGUCAUCAGUGAGGAAUUUGAACAUACCAGUGCUCCUAACGUGAUGUAUCAACAAUGGGUUUUGGUAGUAACCAUUCAGGAGUAUUUGACCAUGGUACUGUUGGACUAAUAACCAUAUCGGUCAUUUUACUGAACUCAAGCCUGCUGAUAUCAGCGAGUGGUGGACAUGGUCAUGGACAUGGUCACGGUGGACAUGAUCAUGAUCACGGUCAUGACUAUGACUACUGUAGGAGGUCC